UUUAAUUUAUUUAAUUUUUUAUUUUAUUUUUUUCAGAACAGGCUCUCCAUUCAGACCAGACGGUCAGACCAUUCGACCCAGGAACCAGAUCGAAAACGAUUCCCUAUCCAGUCCUGUUUUAAAAAUCUUGGUUCUAUCCUUUAAGCUAUGCUUUACAAAAGUCAUCUGGUGAUUUCUUCACUGUAUUUAUGUCAUCCAAACUCCGAAGAACAUCCUGACAAGUUUCUUAAAAUCGUUUUUUUAAUAUUAUCUGCAAUUCUAAUACUAAAAACCUUGAAAUUUGUAUUGUAUCAUUUGUAUGCAUUAGCAAAUUGUAUUGAAUGUCAGCAUUUUUACGCAAGAAUCGCAGGUUCAAGUUUCUUGCACCUUAAUUUCAAUUUAGCUUUGUUUGUUCACGGUAUACAAUAUCAAAGCCAUUUUUUAUUAAUUUUAUUAACAAUACAUGAUAUUUUGAUAGUAUCUGAAUGCUAUUCAAUAUCCAAUUUCAAUCUGAAUUUGAUUCAAUCUAAUAUAAAUCCAAGAUUUAAUCAAUCAAUUUAGCAUAGCUACAUCCGGUUCAAUCUGACGUAGAUGAAUCAAACUGAGCCAUUCCGGUUCUCAAUUUUUUUUGAUAAAUCAUUCCGGUUCUCAAUUCCCUGACCAUAAAAGUGGAAACUAAACAAGAUCUGCUUAGACCAAGGCCUUGCAAUCUUAACAAGGGUCAACACAAACGAAUAUCAAAUUUCUCUACUUUUAAUCUCGGCUUAUGAAUGCUAUCAGCUAUCAAAAUGGUGAACUCAUUUUCGGCGAGUCUACCACCACCCGGUUCAAACAAAAUUCUCAAGUUGUACUUUAUCACUACUAGAGAUGUUACAAGCAGUCCAGAAUAUAUUACGAAAAUUAACAGCUCUAAAUGAUAGGGGUACGAUUAAAAGCAGCCCCAUGCUGAUUGGAGAACCUUGAAAAAACACAUAUAAAUGAUGUUAUCAGUGGCAACUGGUAUCAAGGACAGCAACAAUGCCGAUGUGUGAUGUUUGGUAACCUUGGAACUUCUCAGAUUGUUGGCAAACAAGAACUUAUAUAACCUAUUGUACCUGGAACUGAUUUUCCCUUCCUUCUCAUUUCCUUCUUCCUUUGAACGACCAAGCAAAUGUUUGCAGCAAGUUAUAUCCCA